rnacentral:rRNA from 1 species
AAAACUUUUAACAACGGAUCUCUUGGUUCUGGCAUCGAUGAAGAACGCAGCGAAAUGCGAUAAGUAAUGUGAACUGCAGAAUUCAGUGAAUCAUCGAAUCUUUGAACGCACAUUGCGCCCGCCAGCAUUCUGGCGGGCAUGCCUGUUCGAGCGUCAUUU